rnacentral:tRNA from 1 species
GGCUCGUUGGUCUAGGGGUAUGAUUCUCGCUUUGGGUGCGAAAGGUCCCGGGUGCAAAUCCCGGACGAGCCC